UACAGAGGUCCCAAGCGUUGUUCGGAUUCAUUGGGCGUAAAGGGUGCGUAGGUGGCGGGGAAAAGUCAGGUGUGAAAUCCCGGAGCUUAACUCCGGAACUGCAUUUGAUACUGCCUUGCUCGAGUACUGGAGAGGAGACUGGAAUUUACGGUGUAGCAGUGAAAUGCGUAGAGAUCGUAAGGAAGACCAGUGGCGAAGGCGAGUCUCUGGACAGUUCCUGACGCUGAGGCGCGAAGGCCAGGGGAGCAAACGGG
rnacentral:rRNA from 1 species